CAUGUAGGCGGUUUUUUAAGUCUGGAGUGAAAAUGCGGGGCUCAACCCCGUAUGGCUCUGGAUACUGGAAGACUUGAGUGCAGGAGAGGAAAGGGGAAUUCCCAGUGUAGCGGUGAAAUGCGUAGAUAUUGGGAGGAACACCAGUGGCGAAGGCGCCUUUCUGGACUGUGUCUGACGCUGAGAUGCGAAAGCCAGGGUAGCGAACG
rnacentral:rRNA from 1 species